rnacentral:lncRNA from 1 species
GGGAUACUCGGCUAGCUGGGCCUGGAGCGCCGUGGGUUUCGUCGCCUGUUAUCGUAGUAGCUGGCGUUUAUAGAGGAAUGGAAAUGUACUACCACACAUUGGACCAGUUCUUUCUCAGGCUGAUAACAUUACAGAAUCCCGUUUGAAAUCAAGCUGGACUGGUGGAAAUCAGAUUCCCAUAUCCUCUCAUAAGCUGUUUGUCGAGACUUUUCUCAAAUGUCUACAAUAAACAUGUAUUACUUCUAUAAUAAGAAAAGAGAUUUAAAUAUACUUGAAACGAAAAAGAUCACUUUGGCAGCAGUGGUUAGAAGAAUAUGAAUAAAGGAGAUUGGAUGGGAGGUUACUGCAAUGGUUUAGGGAAAAGACAACGCAAGAAAGAACCAAGGAUAUGGCAGUGUGGCUAGAGAAGGAAAAGCUGAUCGAAGACAUAUUCAGUAGUUCUAUGAGAAUUAUAAACACACACCACACAUUCAAGUCAAUAAUAAAACUGAUCUUUUAAAAGA